rnacentral:rRNA from 1 species
UACAGAGGGUGCAAGCGUUAAUCGGAAUUACUGGGCGUAAAGCGUGCGUAGACGGUUGCGUAAGUCAGAUGUGAAAGCCCCGGGCUCAACCUGGGAAUUGCAUUUGAGACUGCGCAGCUAGGGUGCGGAAGAGGGAAGCGGAAUUUCCGGUGUAGCGGUGAAAUGCGUAGAUAUCGUAAGGAAGACCAGUGGCGAAGGCGGGUCUCUGGACAGUUCCUGACGCUGAGGCACGAAGGCCAGGGGAGCAAACGGG